rnacentral:rRNA from 1 species
GACGAACCGAGCGAACGUUGUUCGGAAUCACUGGGCUUAAAGGGCGCGUAGGCGGGUGCUCAAGUCCGUGGUGAAAUCCUCCGGCUCAACCGGAGAACUGCCUCGGAUACUGGGCGUCUCGAGUGUGGUAGGGGUAUGCGGAACUAUCGGUGGAGCGGUGAAAUGCGUUGAUAUCGAUAGGAACUCCGGUGGCGAAGGCGGCAUACUGGACCACCACUGACGCUGAGGCACGAAAGCGUGGGGAGCAAACAGG